rnacentral:rRNA from 1 species
GUGUAAGUAAUCAAAGUGAUUGUUAGGGAUGCCUAGCGAAUAUUCAUUGAAAGGAGGUGGCAACACCAAAAGCUAUAGUCAUCAGAUAUCUAUAGCGAUCCUAAGGGAAACCAAAUACAUAGUACGCAGUGAACUGAAACAUCUAAGUAACUGUAGGAAAGGAAAUCAACCGAGACUCCAGAAGUAGUGGCGAGCGAAACUGGACUAGCCUAUUAAUUUAUCUCUUGACAGAAUACUUUGGAAUAAGUAAUCCGAAGAAGGUGAUAGCCCUGUACGUUAAGAAUAAAUAAUUAAACAAGUAAUGUGGGAGAAAACCUGCAUGAAGAUUGGGGAACCAUCCUCAAAGGCUAAGUAUGAAUAUUCAGCGAUAGUGAAGAGUACCGUGAGGGAAAGGUGAAAAGAGCGUCGAUGACGAGUGAAAUAGAUUCUGAACUAGCAAUCAUAUAAGCAGUUAGAGCAUGGUCAAAAUGAAAAUGUGAUAACGUACCUUUUGUAUAAUGGAUGGGCGAGUUUAUAGUAGUAGCAAGGUUAAUAACCCCAGCGAAAGCGACUGACUAGUAAUACUAGUGCGGGACAUAGUUACUAUUAUAAGACCCGAAACAAGAUGAUCUAUCCUUGGCCAGACUAGUAAAUAGGUCGAACGGUUCAAUGUUGCAGUAUUGUCCGAUGAGCUGAGGAUUGUAGGUGAAAGGCCAAUCUGAUCUUGAUAUAGCUGGUAUUCCACGAAACGUAUUUAGGUACGGCCCUUUGUGUAGAUUAAUGCAGGUACAGCACUGAUUGCCAUACUUGAGUCUGGUUCGCCAGACUUAGGUUCAAUUGGGGGAUCGUGAGAUUCUACCAUUGGUAGUUAACCUCGGAAUUACAUUAAUUGGUCCAGAGGUGACAGACUGCUCAUGAUAAGGUGGGUAGUCGAGACGGAAACAGCCGUGAGCAUAGAAUAAAGAAGGUCCCAAAAUAGUGGUUAAGUGAAAUUAAGGUAGGUCGUAACUCCUAUACAGCUAUAAAAUGUGCUUGGAAGUAGCAAUUUUUUAAUGAAAGUGUAACAACUUAGUAGUCUAAUGAGUUAUGGCGCCGAAGAUUAACGGGUCUUAGACCACUUACCGAAACUAUGCCGUCUAGAUCUUAAUGAGAUAUAGAUAGAGUAGUGGAACAUUCAGCGUGGUUGAAGGGAAGUGUUUCAUUUCCUGGACAUAGCUGAAGAGAAAAUGCCCAUAUGAGUAACGUAGAAAGAAGCUAUAAUGCUUCUCGCCGAAUGAGAGAGGGUUCCAUAGAAAUGUUAAACAGCUAUGGGUUAAAACGGCCUCUAAGGUUUGUGGCUAAUGCUACCUACUGAUGAGUUUAUCACAGAAAAUCCAGUAAUAACUGGGUCAGGAAAAUAAUGUGAUUGAUUACCGUACCCUAAACCGACACAGGUUCUCGGGUAGAGUAUACUAAGGCGAUGAGAUAAUGCUAUAUAAGGAACUCGGCAAACUACAUCCGUACACUCGAUAAGAAGGAUGACCAUGGCCUAUUAGGUUCAUGGUGGCACAAAAUCGAGAGGCAUAACUGUUUACCAAAAACACAGGCAUCUGCUAUAUUGAAAUAAUGUUGUAUAGGUGCUGAAUCUUGUCCAAUGCCAUGAGUAUAAUGUUGGUGCGAGUAUCGUAUCUGACAGAACCUCUGGUCAAUGACAGUCUUAACUAUAAGGAUUCUAAGGUAGCGAAAUUCCUUGGCCAUUAAAUGUGGUCCUGCAUGAAUAGAGUAAUAAUGCCUCUGCUGUCUCAUAUAGUAUCUCAGUGAAAUUGAAUUAGCCGUGAAGAUGCGGUUUACGUGUGGGUAGACGGGAAGACCCUAUGCAGCUUUACUAUAACUAGUCGUCGUUCUGAGCCAAGUCAGGUGUAGAGUAGAAGGGAGUCGUAAGACGCAAAUGAAACACCUUUACUGAUUUGAGUACGGAACUUAUCUGAUAAAGAAACAACGACUGGCGGGUAGUUUAACUGGGACGGUUUCCUCCAAUAUAGUAUCGGAGGACUUCAAAGGUAUGCUUAAAUUAGAUGGAAACUAAUUUGCUAUGUAGAGCAAAAGAAAGUGUAAAGGCAUAAGCAUGCUUGACUGUAAGACUGACAAGUCGAGCAGGUACGUAAGUAGGACUUAGUGAUCCGGUGAUUUUGAAUGGAGAAGUCAUCGCUCAAGGAAUAAAAGUUACGCUAGGGAUAACAGGGUAAUAGCGCGCGAGAGUUCAUAUUGUCCGCGCUGUUUGCCACCUCGAUGUCGACUCACCUUAUCCUUCCGGUGCAUAAGCUGGAAAGGGUUCUGCUGUUCGCAGAUUAAAAAGGUACGCGAGUUGGGUUCAAUACGAUGAGAGUCAGUAUGGUUCCUAUCUUCCACACGAACGAGUAAUCGACUCUGGACGGGUCUUUAGUACGAAAGGACUUAGAUCUGCGUUCCUAUGGUGUACCAAUUGUUGGCACAAAAGCUGGCAUCGUUGGGUAGCUACGAACGUAAAGGAUAAACGCUGAAAGCAUAUAAGCCUGAAGCCUACCAGAAGAGAUUAUAUAAGGCUAGAAGUAGACUACUUCUUGAUAGGUCACAUGUGUACGCAUCGUGAGAUGUUCAGCUUAGUGAUACUAAUUAGCCAUAUUACUUACACCU